AAAAAGUCAAACUCUAGAUUUAUGUGUCCAACUUUAACUGUCCGUUUUAUAUGAAAUUUUUUUAUAAUUUGUAUUUUUAUUAUUGUUAGAUGAUAAAACAUGAUUAAUAUUUUAUACGUGACUUGUCUUUUUAAUUUUUUUCAUAAUUUUUUUUAAAUAAGAUAGACGGUUAAAUGUUAGACACGGAAACCAAUGUUUGUCUUUUUC
rfam:Oryza rufipogon genomic scaffold, chr01